UUUCCGUAGGUGAACCUGCGGAAGGAUCAUUAUUGUAUAACCGAGGUGCGAGGGCUGUCGCUGACCCGAAAGGUCGUGCACGCCCGAGUGCCCUCACACACAUCCAUCUCACCCCUAUGUGCACCACCGCGUGGGUCCCGCGUUGGCUUGUUCGGGGGGGUGCUUACGUUUUCACACAAACUUUGUAUGCAGUGUAGAAUGUAUUUUUUGCUUUUGCGAUCACGCAAUCAAUACAACUUUCAACAACGGAUCUCUUGGCUCUC
rnacentral:misc_RNA from 1 species